GCCGGCCGCCAUGAGGCGCGGCGCGGGGCCCCCGCGGGGUUUGGGCACAGGCGGCUCGGGGGCCUGAGCGCCUCGCCGCCUGCCUGGGCUCCUCGGGCAGUGGAAAACCCCCCUCGAGACGUUACUGUUAUUAAUAAUGGCUGGAGCGCUAAAAUCCCCGCGCAGCUGUUGCGCGGCGGCCUGUGCGCCGCUCUGAUAACCGGGCUUCAGGCUGAAACACGGCUUAAGCAUCUGCGAAGGGAUCGCUGCACGUCCAAGGUCUCGGGUGGCAGAGAGCUCCCUGGAAGAUGAAGCCUUUCCAGGCAAAUGGAUUUGCAGUUUUCACUGCGGGCAGGGGCUUGCUGGGGCAGCAGCCGUAGUUGUCUGARGAAAAGGAAUAAGCUGUUGGUGCUGCUUUGAAGAUCCCCAUUUGAAAGAGAUUUGAGGAGAUGGAAACUCAUAAUCCACAAUUUAAAUGGGACCACUUCUAGAGAGUGUUUGUUUUCAGGAUUUGGAUAUAGUAACUCGAAACAGCAAAGGUAGUUGGGGGGGCAAGAUAUAACAGGAAUUGUAUAUACAAUUUGUUAGUUGUAUGUUAAUCCCCUCCCACUGCUUGCUUCAAGUUGUGGAUUUUUUAAAUGAACUAUUUAUUAACUCUAUUUAUUAAAUUUAUAUUUAUUAAAUCUAUUUAUAUUUAAACUUGCUUAUUCUGUUUUUUAUUAUACCAUAAAUCUACCUGGUUGAAGUUACUUGUUCUAGAAAUUGUAUUUUGACUGCACUGCAGUCUACUCGCCACAAGCRUUUUUUAACAAUGUUACCUUUCCUCCUGCACUUUGAAGGAGAUUAGAUGCUUAAAGUUUUCCAUGUAGGAAAUAAGGUCUGGAAUUCUUAUUUCUGCUGUGACAAAGAUUAUACAGCCUGUACAAUUUCACAGGGUAACCUUUUUAUACUUCAGUUCCUGACUUGAAAGGAUUUUCUAAUCAUCUCCAUUCCCUGGGCCUGGAGGAAGGAGAAAGGCCCCAAAACUAGAGGAGUUAGAAAAGGCUGCCAAAUACAUAAAAUAAAUUGAAACUGGUAGGGAGGGGAAAGAAGACC
rnacentral:lncRNA from 1 species